AUACCUGGGAGAGAGGAUUUUUCAUGUUACCAACACAAAGAAAUGAUAAAGGUGAAAUGGCCACCAGACCCAGGCUUUCUGGAAUGCAUUCAUUUUCUGCAGUUGAAAGGGACAAUCCCGGAUCUGAAAGAAAGAGCCACAGUGACUCCAAGAGUGGAGCCAGGGCAUGCUGGACACUGCAUAGCUAUGGCCACGUGUGUCACCUCCGAGGGAGAUGUGAGAGAAACGCAGAGGGAUCGCUUGUGACUGUGCCUUCUCGAUGUAUGAUGGACUGUUCUGCUCAAAUAGCAGCAGUAGGGCUUAUGGGAGCCAUUGUACAGUGACAGGAACAUACCAGGACACUGAGAAUAGCGUCAUGUCAUAAGGACUCAGAGCAGGUGGACCCUGCUGUGAUGCACAAAGGUGAGGGUGCAGCUGCCCAGGACACACUCAUGCAUGUUUGUGUGGACCAUGGAAGAUGGCAGGGGAAGAGCUGUCAGGUUGCUGGGGCAGAGGGUGCGCAUGAGUACUCGCCUGUAAGUCAUGUUGUAGAAUCACCUCGCACAGCCGCUGUAUCUUCCCACCAGCAUCACCAGAUAACUCCUUUAUCGUCACUUCAGUAAUGCUUGAUUUUGUCUGACUUUUUUAUGUUUACCAGUUCAGAUAAAGAGAAUUGCACUCUCAUCAUUGCUAUAAUGUACACUUUUUUGACUACUAAUGAGUCUGAGAAUCUUUAGAUACAUUUGUUAGUCAUUAAUGUUUUU
rnacentral:lncRNA from 10 species